AUUACAAAAGAGUCGAGGUGAGAAGUAUUCACGCCAAAAGUGAUCAAACUUGUGGACAGGAGAAAGCGAAAUUGACAGAAGAUUCAUUUCUGCAAGAGCCCAACAAUAGCACAAUUUCAACUUAACUGACCUAUUUUUUUUUUCAAAAUUAAAAUGCAGUAUAUAAGCACUGUUUCCAAAGUGAUAUGUCUUUGCUUCCUCUUUGUUUGCGCUACUAAUGGAAGACAACUGGAUAGUCGAAGGGUUCGGAGACAAUCUGCCGAUGUGAGAGCCUCCGAAUACUUUGCCCUAAUGACACUACUGAACAAAUGUCAGACUGCAAUUGGAUGCGGCCUUGUUGAUUUAGUAAAAAGCGGAAAGAGGAAAAGAACAGAGAACAAUUCUCCGAAAGGGCAGCAUUCUCUGAGGAUAAUCCAUUUACUGCUCCCAAAGGAGCAAUAAAGGUCAACAGAUGAGCCUGCGUCCUAAUAGGAUGACACCAUAAUUAACGUAUUUACUGUCCAUUUUCUUUGGAGACAUUGAUCUCGGCGCAUGCAGUAUUUCCUGCAAUUGUUAUUUUUGUAUAGACAUUUCUCAUUAGACCUUGAAAGUAAAAUUUAAUUAAAAGUCAUUUUGGAUC